UACGGAGAGUGCGAGCGUUGUCCGGAAUCAUUGGGCGUAAAGGGCGCGUAGGUGGCGCGGUAAGCGUGCGGUGAAAGCCUGGGGCUCAACCCCGGGUCGGCCGUGCGAACUGCUGGGCUUGAGCACUGUAGAGGCAGGCGGAAUUCCGGGUGUAGCGGUGGAAUGCGUAGAGAUCCGGAAGAACACCGGUGGCGAAGGCGGCCUGCUGGGCAGUAGCUGACACUGAGGCGCGACAGCGUGGGGAGCAAACAGG
rnacentral:rRNA from 1 species